UUUUCCCCCUAAAUGUCAGGACUUGAGACUUGCAACCAGCCUGUUUUCUUGAGUGUCUCAAGGAGGCUGUCUGAGUCCUGAGAGGCAGGGCCUGGUUGACUACAAAAGGAAAGGCUGAUAGAAGUUUCAGGAAAAAUCCGUUACAGCUGUAGGAAAGAGGAUUUCCCACGAAGAACUACAGGGAACUUGGCUCCGAACUGGCGGCCCUUUGGAUGAGAGAACAGUUCUCUCAUGGAACGGCUUGCCUGAGGCAGACUACCUGGUUGCAGUUACUUCGGCGGCCACGUGAAUGCGCUGUUGUGCAGCGAGUGAGCGAGGCGAGUGGGGGAGGCGUAUGCAGUUGGGACUGCGGACCCUCUUUCUGCCUAACAGUCCAGGUCUGGUGCAAAAGUUGUGACUGCUAGCAUCGCCCCCAGAGAAGCCAGAUGCUGGGGGCCCUGGGAGGGUGGGGAGGGUCUGUGGGGACCCUACCCGACCCAGGCUGAGACCCCUUCCCCAACCUGUCAGUCCUGGUGACUGCCCAGUGUUCUUGGGGGUACUGAACUGAGUGAAUCUGAGCCUAGGUGCAUUGCAGUGGAAGGGAGAUGGGCGGUGGGAGAGUCCCCGUUCCCUUUGCGCAGUGGCAUCUAGCAUGGAGGGAUCCUUAGGGUACCAUGACCCUGUGGGUCUGCUUGGUACAGACCAGUUCCCCCCCCCUUAACCCCCCCCCAAGUCCAGAACUGUGAGGGGGUAUGUAGCCAGGGCCCCAAAGAGAUGUGCUACAGUCUCCUUGUGCUAGGAAGGUCACUGCUUACCGUGUACUGUAGCACAGGCUUUGGGCCUGGACAAUGACGCAGUAUAUUUUUCAGCUGGAAAGAAAAAGAUGUGCGUGAGAAAGAGACAUGAAAAUACACAUAGACUCUGUGUGUGUGUGUGUGUGUGACAAGAGAGACAACGGAGAAACAGAACGGUGAACAUUUUUUUCCCCUCAUUUAGAAAACAUUACCUUUCUGGUUUCUUGUUUGUUUUUUGUUUAUUUUUUCAGCUAGUGGGAGACAGAUUCGGAAUGAUAUGUUUUGGUUAAAAACACACAUGAGCACAUAUACCAGAUUUGUGUGCUCACAGCUCAUGUGUGUUAUUUGGGGAAAGGGGAGGUAUUUUGUCCCAGUGAUGAAAGCUUUAGAGGGAGAUUUUUCUGAGGU
rnacentral:lncRNA from 1 species